UGCGGUUAAAAAGCUCGUAGUUGGAUCUGAGAUGCAGGGCGACCGUAUUGCUGCACGGCGGCGAUACAGUGUCGUCUCCUGUAGUGCCCCUCCUUCUCGAUAUACUGAGGGGAGUCUGGGCCCAGCCGGCUCGCACGGGAUUCCCUUUAUCGGUUGUCCCGAGUGGCUGGUGAGUUUACUUUGAAAAAAUUAGAGUGCUCAAAGCAGGCAGUAUAUUAAGCCUGAAUGGUGAUGCAUGGAAUAAUGGAAUAGGACCUUGGUUCUAUUUUGUUGGUUUUAACUGAACCCAAGGUAAUGACUAAGAGAGACAGUCGGGGGCAUUUGUACUGUGACGCUAGAGGUGAAAUUCUUGGACCGUCACAAGACAAACAACUGCGAAAGCAUUUGCCAAGGAUGUUUUCAUUAAUCAAGAACGAAAGUUAGAGGUUCGAAGGCGAUCAGAUACCGCCCUAGUUCUAACCAUAAACGAUGCCAACCAGCAAUCCGCCGGGGUUAUUCCCAUGACCCGGCGGGCAGCUUCCGGGAAACCAGAGUCUUUGGGUUCCGGGGGAAGUAUGGUUGCAAAGCUGAAACUUAAAGGAAUUGACGGAAGGGCACCACCAGGAGUGGAGCCUGCGGCUUAAUUUGACUCAACACGGGAAACCUCACCAGGCCCAGACACUGGAAGGAUUGACAGAUUGAGAGCUCUUUCUCGAUUCAGUGGGU
rnacentral:rRNA from 1 species